rnacentral:rRNA from 1 species
UAACCGAACGGAUCGCAUCAUAUUAUAAUCAUUUCGGUGAUUGGCGAUAGAUCAUUCAAGUUUCUGACCUAUCAGCUUUCGACGGUAGUGUAUUGGACUACCGUGGCAGUGACGGGUAACGGGGAAUUAGGGUUCGAUUCCGGAGAGGGAGCCUGAGAAACGGCUACCACAUCUAAGGAAGGCAGCAGGCGCGCAAAUUACCCAAUCCUGACUCAGGGAGGUAGUGACAAGAAAUAACAACACUGGAAAUUGUAUUUCUAGUGAUUGGAAUGAUGGGAAUCCAAACCCCUUUCAGAGUAACAAUUGGAGGGCAAGUCUGGUGCCAGCAGCCGCGGUAAUUCCAGCUCCAAUAGCGUAUAUUAAAGUUGUUGCAGUUAAAAAGCUCGUAGUUGGAUAUCUGCUGGAAGCAAUCAGUCCGCCCUUUUCGUAAGGGUGUGCACUUGAUGAAUUCUGGCAUGAUUUCAUCCUAAUAAUAAUAUAUUAUUAUAUUAGGUUGAUUCCUAGUAUAAUAAUAUUUAUUAUUAUGGGGAUGACAGUUACUUUGAGAAAAUUAGAGUGUUUGAA